UUUGAUUGAUGGUGAAAAUAAAUUACAAGGAAUUUAAAGACUGAGAACACAAGAGUUUUAUACUGAUUCAGUACCGGUGUGGUACCUACAUCUAAUUCCCUUGGGUCACAAGGGUUCUCUUAGAUCUUCAAUGAUAGUAGCAGUGAUUUUAUGGAUCGUUUACCCAAACGAUUUUCGACAACAGUGUGUUUAUAAACUUGACACAACUCUUACUUUGCUUCCUAACACUUCCUAUCUUUUGAGACACUAGUAAACUUAGGAAUACAGUAUUUGUGCUAAGAACUAGGAAGACAUAGAAAAUAGUGGUAAGUUGCAUAGUUGAAUUCUUUAAUCUGCCAGUCUUCUUAUACGAGAGUCUUGAGUAGCAGUUGCAGAUUGACCCUUGAUUGAGGCACAAAAUAUUCUAAGAGUUUUUACCCAAGGGGUGUCUCCGAAUCCUGCUCAAGAGAUGGGCUGGAUUCAUUUACGUCCUUCCUUUUCAUAUUCAUAAUGAGGGGAGUGAUUUGUGGCUUGACUUGAUCGAUCAAUAUUCAGAAUCUCCAGAUCCCAAAUCAAUCCUUGAAGUAGGGACUGCCUUCCUAUAGCGAUUGCGCUUGAUCUUGUUUCUUUUUUGAUGGCCUUGACAUCCUUUGAUUUAGCAUUGUCCUUGCUGCAUUUGAUCUUGUUUCCUUUAUGAUAUCUUUAACAUAUUGACUACCUUUGAUUUAGUACUGCUUUCCUAAUUUCCUGCAAUUAAAUAGAUACAGUUAGAUUUACAUUAUUGUCAUCAUUGAAACUUAGGUAUAACAAAGUCUAUAUAUAUAAAAUGUCAAAUUCGUUCAAGUAGUACGACGAUGAUUCAUUCUGAUAAUAUUUUUCACGUUAAUGGAAUAAAGACUUGCUCCUUGAGUCCUCUCUCAAACAUGGACCAAGAGCAAAUAGAUUGACACAUAAAACAUUUCUAUUUUGUAGUAGUUGUACACUGUUGUAUGUUAUGCAAAAAGAUUCUGCUUCAAAAGCCCUGGGCUCAGUUUAUCCUUUUCUUCAUUUUCUUACAACUGUGGUAUUCUGCAAAUUUGCGUGCAUUGGUACCUAUUAUCUUCU
rnacentral:lncRNA from 1 species